rnacentral:tRNA from 1 species
GCCUGUCUGGCUCAGUCAGUAGAGCAUGGGACUCCUGAUCUCAGGGUUGUGAGUUCAAGCCCCACAUUGGGUG